rnacentral:rRNA from 1 species
CCUACGGGCGGCAGCAGUGAGGAAUAUUGGUCAAUGGGCGAGAGCCUGAACCAGCCAAGUCGCGUGAGGGAGUACUGCCCUAUGGGUUGUAAACCUCUUUUGUCGGGGAGCAAAAGCCGGAAGUGUCCGGCUGUGAGAGUACCCGAAGAAAAAGCAUCGGCUAACUCCGUGCCAGCAGCCGCGGUAAUACGGGGGAAGCGAGCGUUAUCCGGAUUUAUUGGGUUAAAGGGGGGCGCAGGCGGAUUUUUAAGUAAGCGGGAAAAUCGUGGGGCUCAACCCCAUCCAGCCGUUGAAACUGGGGAUCUAGAGUGUGCGAGAGGUAUGCGGAAUGCGUGGUGUAGCGGUGAAAUGCAUAGAUAUCACGCAGAACCCCGAUUGCGAAGGCAGCAUACCGGUGCACAACUGACGCUCAGGCACGAAAGCGUGGGUAUCGAACAGGAUUAGAUACCCUUGUAGUC